UAGACCGUGAACGCGUAAUCCAGCCCGCCGUCGGCGACUCACCUCGUCGUUCGGCCAAGUCCUCGACAACCUCCUCUCCUCGGAGCGGUGGCUCGGGGUAAAAGAACCCACGGCGCCUAAGGCGUCAAGGAACACUGUGCCUAACUCGGGGACGCGUCUGGCUUGCUGGCCGCCCCCCGUGUUGCAAAGCUAUAUAAUCCACACGACUCUCGGCAACGGAUAUCUCGGCUCUCGCAUCGAUAAAGAACGUACCGAAAUGCGAUACCUGGUGUGAAUUGCAGAAUCCCGGGAACCAUCGACUCUUUGAACGCAAGUUGUGCCCGAUGCCAUUCGGUC
rnacentral:misc_RNA from 1 species